ensembl:lncRNA
GUCAGGAGGUUUUCCCGCCCGUCCAGGGUGCGGCUGUGAGCUUCUCUGUGGUGGCAGCGCCUCGGCUCCGCUCGCAGCUCUGAGGAGGUGGGAGAGCUGUGAGAGAGCGGGGCCUGGGGCUGCCCUCCUUGGGGAGCGUAGCUCGGAGCGCAGUUAUCGCGGUCCCCUGGGGAUGAGGAGCUGGGGGCACUGAUUGCAGUGUGAGCUGUCAGCAGUGUGUGGGAAGCUGGUGGGCCUCAUCUGCCUCAGUGCAGGCAGGCGCCUGCUUCAUAACGAAGAUUUGUACUCUUCAGUUAAUGCUACAUUACAGUGACUAUCCUACUGACCUUCAUCUGGCUCAAGCACUAGAGAAUUAAGCUAUAACAACUGCAAAAAGGAUUGGAGCAAGAAAAUGUGAGCUAUUCCUCCCCCUCUUUCCUGCCAGCCUUGAGCUGGGCCACCUUCCUCCACCUUUCCUCAUCAUCUCUGUCAAAUUCCCAUGACUUGGGAAAGAUUAAAAAAAAAAAAAAGUCUGUAAAGGGCAGUGGUCAAUCCUGAGAACAAAAGAUAUCUCCCUCAUAUGCACCAGACUUCCCAGUUCUCCCAGUGAUAACUGCAACAGCAAACCCUGAUCUCUUCUCUUUGAGUAAUACAUUUUACUUAUUUAAUCUAUGUGAUUUAAUGGUCCCUGCAGCACCUCAUAAGGUUUGGAAACACCAUUCUAACUUGAGAAGCUUUUCUCUCUUAAGAGGUGUGUAGUGACAGUAAAAAAAAAU